AUAAACCAUGUCAAAUACUGGUGUAAAGGGCAUUCCUGGAAUACAUGCUCUUAUGUCGUACGCACUGACCAUCCCAAUAGCAGUGUGGAGAAGAACGGACCAGAUGAAUGGAUAGAAUUGUUCAAACUAGUCAUUACAGACAGUCCUAUUGUUGACCAAGAGGAGA